AGAGUUUGGUACAUUUGUUUAGAGUUCUAGGAGUUUUUAAUUUUAUUGACUAGAGAAUACUAGAGAAACCUGCAAAACAAUGUAUUCAUGAGUAAUUAUAGAGAAAACGCAUAUCAAGUGAAGGCAACAUGUUUUAGGUGAAAAGUCUGGACUGCUGGCUGUCAAGCCUCAACUUUGAUGAAAAUAGACGUCUGCUUCAAAAACCCGACUCCAUAGAAUCUACUCUCUCCAGUGAAGAGGAGCCCAUUGUGUGAGAUGAGAGUUGGAUUGGAUGGCUCCCUGGGGAGCUGCUCUCCAUUAGCUAAGGUGAUCUAACAGGGCAGGAGGCUCGGGGACGCUUCAUGGUACGACGGGACAUGAAUCACUUUAAUAGACACCCAUCCCUUCUGGAAACGUGCCUAUCAACGGAUAUUAAAAGGGAAACUCCAGGUUAAGCUAGCUAAAAUAUCUGCCCAUAUACUGAUAUGGGGAACAGCCUAUAGGCUACUGUGUUGCUUCCUCAAACUGAUAUAU